rnacentral:lncRNA from 1 species
UACUCUCCUUCAAAUUUAGAGUAAUCUUGACUGAGGAAAGAAGUGUAUAGCACAGCUGCUACUGCAACCUCCAGUGGGUCUUGGAAUAGUCAGAGUCAUCCUUGGGAUAUAAUGGCGUGUCAUGGCUACUGUGUUCCUUCAUUCUCCCCCGACUCCUCUCCCAUCAGACUUCUCCAGAGUUAAUUAAAGCCUGAUCAGGAGGCCAGAUAAAAAAGAUGAAAAAUUCAAGAGGGUUGAUGUUGCCUGAAAAAAAAGGUGCUGAAUACCCUUCACCAUGGGAACCAUCCAGAAGACAAAAAUGUACACAGAUUUCUAAAACGGCCUUCCAAACCUUCAAUGGCAUUGAAGUUGAAUUUUGUAGCUUUUCUUCCUUCUGCAUAUGUAUAAACUGAGAAUAGAAACCAUCCCCUGUAAGGAGGUUUCUAUACAUAUAUCAAAGGAUUUUGAUGACAUUAUAAUAACCAAUAGAGUGAAGCUGGGGCAGUUUGUGAUGAUUUUGGAUUCUCAAGACAUUUACCUUCUGUUAUAAAAUAUUAAUGAAACAGCUGACAAGCCAACAAAAUUCUAAAGGAGCUCAUCUCACAGGAGAGAAAUUUGUUGACAUUGAUUUGGACUGUGAAGUGGGUUUUAUGAACUCCCAGAUAUGUACGUGCCUAUUAUUACCUUUGUGUUA